rnacentral:rRNA from 1 species
UUUGAUCCUGGCUCAGAACGAACGCUGGCGGCAUGCCUAACACAUGCAAGUCGAACGAAGCCUUCGGGCUUAGUGGCGCACGGGUGCGUAACACGUGGGAAUCUGCCCUUCGGUUCGGAAUAACAGUUAGAAAUGACUGCUAAUACCGGAUGAUGACGUAAGUCCAAAGAUUUAUCGCCGAAGGAUGAGCCCGCGUAGGAUUAGGUAGUUGGUAGGGUAAUGGCCUACCAAGCCGACGAUCCUUAGCUGGUCUGAGAGGAUGAUCAGCCACACUGGGACUGAGACACGGCCCAGACUCCUACGGGAGGCAGCAGUGGGGAAUAUUGGACAAUGGGCGAAAGCCUGAUCCAGCAAUGCCGCGUGAGUGAUGAAGGCCUUAGGGUUGUAAAGCUCUUUUACCAGGGAUGAUAAUGACAGUACCUGGAGAAUAAGCUCCGGCUAACUCCGUG